CUUCCGCCAAAAUGAGCAACUUAGGUGAUAAAGGAUCUCUUUGCCCGAGACCUCUAGAUUAUAUUAAAAAAACCAUAGGGAACUUUCAUCCAAGACCAUCAAAAACCAACAAUUCUCCGGCGUUUUCAUGAUUAAAUCAAUCCAGGCUCCACUACCACAAGAACUAAGGCUCUGUCUAGACGUCAAAAAAAGGAUUCCUCUACGAUUUUUCGGUCAAAUUUCUGGUCGGUUGGAAGUCGUUUUCAAACUUGAAAUUUGAAAUCACGUCGUGAGAUUCUUGUAGGGCUAUCUCAACGGUCAAUUUUCUGGUCGUUUGGAUAUCGUUCUAAAUUUUGAAAUCAUCUCGGCUCUUUUCCUUUUGGUGUGAGAGAAAGACCUCACCCCUGAGGGCCGAGAAGUGUCGAGAAAAACAACCGUUUAUGUGUGAAGUGAGAGAGACAAAGGAGAAGCCAGACGCUGGAGUUUGAGCAGCAACGAAAGAUGAUCAUCUGAAACGGAUCUUUUAGAAUUCAAAUCGACGAAUCGGCACCAUUCGAUGCUGCGUGCACUCCAACGAUCAGAAGUUGCUGCCAUUAUUGCUCUGCAUCUACAACUAGAGGAGCUGAUCCUCGUCACUGCAACCCUCGUCGGAGACCCGAUUUCUUUUCCAAAUUGAGACAGGAGAAAGAAACGGAAGGGGCGACUGUGUUGGAGGGGUGAGGAACGGGGAAAGAAACGAAGGGCGGGACAGCAGUAAAGGUGAUUCUGGUGACUUUUGGAAUGGUCCUGUUUUUUCUAUCUUAAUCUUCUUUCUCUACUUUCUUAUUUUCUUUUUUCGCGUCGGAAUGUUGGGGAUAUGCGGGAGAUCUGGGAUAGACAAAAAGGAAACCCUAGAGAUGGAGUGGAGGACCCCUAUCAAAUUAAGUGAUAAGCUGAACACAUAAUGAGCGAGAGAAAGGAUAACCGAAGGAAUGGUUGGUAGGCUACUGGUAUCCUCACAAAAGGGCAACUGGUUCUUCUCUCCUUUAUCUUCAACGAGUUCCAGAAGCAAGCAUAUUAAGGAUCGGCUCCAUAUUCAGAGCCCGUGUUUUCUCUGCGGUCUUUGUAAUUAGCUAUGCUUUGCAGCUGCUGAAGCCAAAUCCAGAGUCACCAUGAACAACCCACCUCUGCGGAGGUUUUGGUUCUCACAACUCCUCUUUAUUACGUAAAUGCUCCUCCCCAUGUGGGAAGCGCCUAUUCUACCAUUGCCUCCGACGUCAUUGCUCGAUUUCAGAACUGCUUUUGUGCUUGGAAGGAAACAUGAAAUAACGACAUUUGCGGGAGGAACUAUUAGCUUCAUAGUAAUUUCUUAUUUUUGUUUGAAUUUGUUGUUAUAUUUUUUAAUUAAUUCAAAACAAAUGUAGUAAAUUAUAAAUAUAGGUGAUCUGUAGUGUGGUAAUUUCUACCUUUACUGACCGAUGUGAAAGUGCUCUUUGUUAGCUUUGAUUUGUUGAUUGAUUGAAAUUUCUUUCAAGUUUAUCAGAGGCUGCUGGGGAAGAAAGUUACAUUUGUCACAGGCACAAACGAUCAUGGGGAUAAAUUGCUUCUGCUGCCACUGCCUGUGGUUCCAGCCAAAUAGAGCACUGUAAUUUUGUAUCAUAUGCUUACAGGAUGCUUUGGAAAGAUGUUUUUUCACUACUUCUUGUUCUAUCAGCUUGAAAGCAAUUGUGAAGGAAUUUUGCUCGAGAGUUCAUGCAAAUGGUGACAUUUCCUGGGCUGAUAUGAAGGCCUUUAUUGUAUUAACUGCGAGGAGUAUAAGGUGGUACCCAUCUUUGAUCUUAGGAAAUCUUUGUUGUUUUAUCAACUAUUUACCAAUAUCUGCCAUGUAUUACAUGUAGAACUACUGGGAAGACACAUGUAGAGGCUCUUUCAACGGCACCCAAGCACAAGCAGGGUUGGGAACUCACCGUUCAUUUUCCUUUUUUGAGUCUUUCCCCUGCAUUUGUACCUUAUGUAUUGAAUCUGAAUAUAGGGAAACCUUUUUCCGCAUCUGCUGGAACAUGAUAGUACUACCUUAUGAAGACUAUUAAUUAUUCUAAAUAUUCCCUUGGACAAUUUGAUGAAGAGUCAUGUUUACUUAACACAAAUUUUCCUGUCGUUUGCUAUGGUUAAAAAAUGCAGGAUGAGAAGGAAUUACUUGAAACAACUGUUGCCCGAUGCACCUAAAGCCUUGCAUCCACGAAAGGAGGACAACUUCUUCUUUGCCUCAUCGAAUUAUAAAAAAUCAUUCGAAGAGAUUCUAAGUCAAAAUCCGAACUUAGUGCAUCCUUAUUUUAAUUGAAUGAGGUGAGGAUAUAAAUUUUCCCCCUUUGUUUUUACUGAUUGACUGUGAUUAUAUUUUUCACUUUUCCCUGUCUCUCUAAGUGUCUUCAAUGAAUGUUGACAUCAAAAUAUAGAUAAUGGAUUUCAACGGUUGAAUGGGUUACCAUUUUUCCUCCAUUCCUUUAUUGAUGGGAUUAUUUUUUUUUUUUUUGGGGGGGGGGUGCACACCCUUGUUGUCGGAAAAAGUAUAAAUAUCACAGGAACUCUAGAGAAAGAAAUUAUGAAUUUUAUUUUAUAAGCUGACCUUCCAAGACAUACAAUUUUGCACUAGCAACAAGUCAUCUGUACUUUUUUUUGCAACAUGCGAGGUGAUUGCUUUGCUUGGUAAGGUUGUGUAAAGCAGGAAAAAUAAGAAUGCGUCAAUUUCUUUUGAGGCCAAAAUGAACCUUUUCUCAGAGCAUGAAACCUCCAUGGCAUAGAAGGCUGCAGAAAAAUCUGUAAGGUGGAUAAUUUUAGGUUUUCAUUAUUUAUUCUUUAUCAUUAUUGUGGUUUGUUUCCUUUCACUUUUAAUUUUUCCUUUUCUUUGUCCUUGACAGGAUCCAUGUAGCCAAUCCCAUUUAGUUGGGAUAAAACUUUGUUAUUGUUAAUGUAUUCCUUAUUAUUAUUGUAUUUGGUGGCAAAUGUAAUUUUAUAUUUGGGCUUUGUUUGGCUUUGGAUUUAAAUCUAGUCAAUUCUAAUGGUGUUAUGGUUAGUUUUUUGGGUUCUAAAUCUUAGUCCUGUUCUUAUUCUGAGUUUUUAUUUAUUUUUAGAAAAUUAGGUUGAGUAUGGUUAUUUUCCUUGCUACUUUGCUCUGGACCUAAUUUUCUGGGGUAGAAAAUAAGUCUGUAGGUUGAUUUUGUUGUCACUUGAUGUUCUUAAGCUACUUAUUUAACUGAUUAUAGAAAGUAUUGAAGUAGAGUUACCAAAAGUGAAAAAUCACACAGAAUAUUGGUUUGUAUAGUUAUGGCCACUGGAAUUAAAGGUCAACCAGGUGGGUUAACAGACCACCCAGUUGGUUAUCCUUCCGAGUGUUUGAAAAUCAAACUCUUAAUGAGGUUAUACUCCCUCCCCCUGUAUAAGAAAUUUAGCAUGCUGUUGUCUCCCUUCUAUGAAAUUGUUGACUAUAAAUUAAUAGAAUUCCCAAAGAGAUCUAGCUUCAAAUGCAUGCAGAUAUUCUAAAUCUUUUCUCUUACUGCCUACGUCCUACAACGACCGUCCUUUCUCCUUUCCAUUUUUGGCUGUCCCAAAAUUGUUCUUUGCUGUGACAUUAGAUGACCAAAGGCAUAGUUGUCACGCCGUCUAGGCGACCCAAGGCAUUGGAGGUACCUUGGACGCAAGGGGAUACCAACAAGGUGACGCCUUGACAACUAUGACCAAAGUGAAAAUAAAUUGAAAAAUGGUGGUACUUUUAAUUCUUUAUCUAUUCCUCCUUUAACCUUGUUUUUUUUUUCAAAAGGUGCAGCAAUUAUGUGAUAGGAGUAUUUUAUUUUUAAAGCAAUAGUAAGUAUCGUGCUUUUCCUGCUGUGUUCAUCGUUUAUUCAACCUGAGUUCAGAAGGUUUUCAUAUUUGUAGAAAGUCUAGUUUUAGCACAUUUCGAAGUAUUUAUUGUUGUUCUUAUGUUUAACAUUUACAUCAUGUCCAUUUUGGGUUUGAAUAGAAUGUAUAGUUAAGUCUCCAGGCAAAAAAGAAGAAAAAGGCAAUACUCCGAACUGUUGGUUUUGAUUUAGGUGAUCCCUUACCUGUUACCACCCAUGGAGCCACCAAAGGCUUUCCUUAGAUAUAUUCCUUUCUGACAAGCAUGAAAUUCAUGUUGACAAUCUUGAAAUUGCAUUGAUGUGAAUGUGAACUUAGUCUAUUAUUCAAAAAUUGUUUUCUUCCUGGAUUCCAUAACUAACAUGGAGACUAGUUCAGGUGCAAAGUUGGAUCAAGAGUGGCCUGAAAGAUUUCUCUAUUUCCUGUGCCAUAUGUGGAUUGGGGUAUUCCCGCGUGUAAUGACAAAAGUGACUACCACUUAACUUGGAAGCUGCCAUCGGGUUAUACAUAGUUGUCUCAAGAUUCUGGAUCUUGAGACAUCCAAAUUGAGUGAAGUACUUAACUCAGCCAAGUUAUACAUCAGCACUAUCCCAGUACAACCUACUUUACAAGAUGCAAUUAUCUUCUGGUUGGCCUGCUUCAUUGCACUUAAUUGACAAGGAUAUCUUAAGGUUUCAUGCGGUACAUUGGCCAGCUAUGUCAACGUCAGCAGGACUAAGCAUUCCUAAGAUGAUUUUUGGUCAUGGAUUUCUGAAAAGGGCAAGAAGAAAAAACAGAGAAAGCCAAUGCUGGCAUGGUUGGUAGCUCUAGAGUGCCAAGAAGGCAGAAGUGACCCCACCUGCUCCUGUUCAACCUGCCAACAUCAUUGGGGAACUCAUCAGGAGGUGUGGACAAAGAGCAAGACUUUCUAUUUUGAAAAUUUUAGGAUGGCAUGAAGAUGGGGAAGUCUUUGGAGAAUACACUUGAACCAAAUGAUUUGGAGCACAGAUUUGGGUCUGAUGCAGUUAGGUACUUCUUCCUCAGGGAAGUGGAAUGAGGAGCUCUUAUUAAUAUUGUCAAUGCCCAUCUUUCCAAUACAAUCGGUAUGCCUUCUUGUUCUGUGUGGGUCAUUUUGUGCUAUUACAACUAGUAUCAGGUGCCCUAAGAAAAGGGAAAAACCAUACAUUCUCCAGGUUCAAUUCUCAAAUGGCAUGUGGUAGCUGAUGUCUCUAGAUUCUCCCAAAUUGGAAGACCAAAACAGUAACAUUGCAAAUGCCUUAUCAACCACUUGCUUUAGGUUGGAAAUUAUGAGAUUGUUCUGCUUAUAAAAGCCAUCAUUCUCCAGGUUCAAUAAGAACUUGGACUAAGGGGAAUCCAAGGUAUCUCAAAAUUAUCCAAGAAGUACAUCAUUAAAAUGAAAAAAUUGAGAAAGAACAGUUUAAAAGCAAUUGAUCGACAUUUUUUACGUCAUGAAAACACAUGUUGGGAAUGCAUUCUCCCCUUGUGACGAGAUGUUGACAGUCUUAUGUGCAUGCAUUGUCCAAAGGAAACAAGUGAAUUUGAAGGGCUAUGAGAGUUUUAAAUGAACAGGAUAGAAGGAAGAAAAUGAAGUGGAAGAAGAACUCAACUGGAGGCUUCAUUCAAAUGUAGGCAUAGUCCUUGGCUUCCUGAAUCAUGAUUCCACCAUCUCCUGUUUCUAGACCUCACUUCAGGUGUCAUACUUAGGUCAGCAACUGCAGUCACCUACUGAUGCAGGAAAAUCUUGGCAACCAAAAGGUAGAGAGCUAUUAUUGUUCAUAACAUCUGCAAACCGAAACCUGUCAGCAGAUAUCCCAUGGUCGAUGGAAAUGCCCGGGCUCCUAGUUCAACCAGUGGCAUUUCAUGUCUUGAUCUUUCGAUGUACUUUCUGCAACUAGUUGGAAAGAAUUAAUGGAUUUGCCCCCACGUUUGGAACAUAUGGAAUGGUUUGUUAGAUCCAACAAACCAUUCCAUGAAUUCUAUAGUGAUUUUUUUUUAUUUGUCAACGAAUUCUAUACAUAUUUUCAUUUACUUGACUAAGCAUCCAUUCAUUCUUUUUCUCCCAUAGCCCACGCAAAAUAUGGUGAAGAAUGAAUGACAUAGACCAAGUUGACCAAAAACCAGGUAGGUAUCAUCCAAUGGGGCAGCAACAGAUCCUAUAGGUGGAUUGACAGUUCCAAUCCUAUAAGCCCUCUCUCUCUUUGCAUCUGUUUGCUUAUUGUAUUUAAUUGUGAAAUUGAUUUGUACAGCUUGAUCUAUUGAUUUUAUGUUAUUGAUAGUGCUACCAAAUGGGGUGGGCUAAAGCGUGGUCAGGUCAUGGCACAACCAAAGCUGGUCUUCGUAAGGAUUGUAAGCAUAACAGAAGGGAAAGAUGGAUGUGAAACAACUAAGAAGCUUGUGAAAGGUAAAAGAAUUACUGCGUCUCAGGGAGUUGCUGAAGCUUAAACUUCCUUGACUUCAGGAUUUUAUGAUCUCCACAUGCUUUACAAAUUUGAGUUAUUUGUUGGGUGAUGACAAAAAUGAACUAUUUUCUUUUACUAACUCGCUUGACUUGAAGGUUGGACUAAUACGAUUCCAUUGUGCAACCUUUGUUUUCUUUGUUUUUUAUAUUGUAUUUUACUGAAUGGGACAUGAAAGUAUAAAUUUAUCGCUUGCACCGUGUUUUCUGGGCAAGAGAAUCA